ACUGGGCCUUGUAACGUGGGCCUGUAACCCAAGUGGGAGCAAUAAGGUGAUAGAACAUUAGGCCCAUUUGGAUGGUUAUUGGGCUUUGUUUAAUGCUAGUCUUGCCCCUAUCCAAGCAUUGAGUUGGGCCUUGUUGUUGUGUCCAUGCGACGGCAUGGACGCCGUGCCCUCUCCUCAAAAAGGAGGGCACGGUGUCAGGCUGGUUUCACGGAGCAGCGAUAUUGUCCUUCUUUGUGUAGUGGAAGGAUGCCAGGCUGGCGCUUUCACGGCCCCUAGCUUGUCGAGAUGGGUACUCCUAAUUGGACCUUCACCUUU
rnacentral:SRP_RNA from 1 species